rnacentral:rRNA from 1 species
UACGUAGGGCGCAAGCGUUAUCCGGAAUUAUUGGGCGUAAAGAGCUCGUAGGCGGUUUGUUGCGUCUGCCGUGAAAGCCCGGGGCUUAACCCCGGGUCUGCAUUCGAUACGGGCUGGCUAGAGUGUGGUAGGGGAGAUCGGAAUUCCUGGUGUAGCGGUGAAAUGCGCAGAUAUCAGGAGGAACACCGGUGGCGAAGGCGGAUCUCUGGGCCAUUACUGACGCUGAGGAGCGAAAGCGUGGGGAGCGAACAGG